CUCUCUCUCUCUCUCUCUCUCUCUCUCUAGGGAGGAUGUGAAGACAAAGAAUUCUACUUUCUUAAUAUGGCCACUCAAAGAAACUGACACUGGGGAUUUACAAGAGCUAAGACCGGAGAACCCUAGAAAGAAGAAAAAGAAACCUUCCAAGAGGUUGCCUCUCCAGGAAACGGUGUCCUUAGAAUCUGAUGACUCUUCUCAUGGCAUCAGGUCCCAAGAGUCCUACCCCAAGAAACACCCCAAGCCCAAGAGCCACCCACAGCAGCAAAGGGCUGAGGACCACUGCUGAGAAACCUUAAAGCAGUCUAGUGGCAACUAUGUUUAAGAGAGCCAGCAUUCCUCCAGGGCUGCCUAGACCUCAGCCAGUCAACACUGUGGAACUAGCCUCUCUGCUGAGUCUGUUGUAGGUACCUCUAGUUGAGUGCGGAACCACAAUAAAAACUCUUACAUUGGAAACAUUUCAAAACUA